rnacentral:lncRNA from 1 species
AGCAGAUUUUGCUAAGGAAUUCCAAACACCUUCACCAUGAUUAGCAAUGUAGUUAAUGAGAAUUAAAUCCUCUUCCAUAGUCCAAGGUCCUUUCCUCACUUCAACAUCUUGAGAGUUGCAUGGUUUUUUAUCCAUCUUUUUUUUUUUAAAAAAGAUGAAGAAUCCAAACACCUUCACCAUGAUUAGCAAUGUAGUUAAUGAGAAUUAAAUCCUCUUCCAUAGUCCAAGGUCCUUUCCUCACUUCAACAUCUUGAGAGUUGCAUGGUUUUAUAUCCAUCUUUAUUAAAAAAAAGAAAAGAUGGAGAAAAGAAGGAGAGAGAGGAAGAGAUAUGGGAUAGGAGUGAAGAUAU